GAGAACUAUUAUCUGUCUUCCAGUCUCUAGCCUUUAUUCACUCCCCCAUCCCCAAAUAUCACAUUAUCUCUAAAUUAAAUUGUAAGGCAAAGCUGUGCAUGCAUCCACAUCUAGAUAGCUUGUAAAUCUAUAGUCUGGUUCAGGUUAUUUGCUUGUACUUCUUUGAUGCCAAAUUCAUGCUGGGCUUUAGAAAGAUUUAGCAUUGGCUUGGAUCCAAACAUCCUACUGCACAAGUAAAAGGCACUUCUUGCUCAUGCAUAUGUGACUGUGUAUUAGCAAUUCCCUCCCUCCCCCGAUGUUCACAAGAGCAUUCAUACCAUGCCCUUCCAUUGUAAAAAGCAAUGCUGUUUGUUGCUUGCAACUUAUUAAAAAUCAAAACAAAAACAAAAAGGCACCUGAAUGUUUCAAUGUACAUUAAGUGUCCACUGGUUUGUAAAUUUCAUGUAUAUAUAACUGAUCAGAUGGUCAUCCAAAAGAGUUGUAAUAGAGACAUGACAAACAAGUGAGUUUCAAUAAUAAAUUUGAGUGGGAAAAUAGUAAUUCAGUUUUGAACAGUAUCAAGAGCAGAAUUCACUUCCAGCUUUUCCACCCACAGGCUUUUCAAUUACUUUUCCCUCUCACAGACAUGCACAGAAUCUUCUGCUACAUCUCCACAUGAAUUUCUUACGCUUCCUUCACAGCUUGUUGGCAUUACUGUUGAAGAUUCUUGUUGACAACCAGCUUGACCCUCCCUAUAGGACUUGGGUAUUCAUGUUCAGAGGGUUCCCUGACUUUCUAGAGCCAGUUUGCAGAUUUAAGAGGGCAACAGAUGGAGGAAAACUAGGAAACAAGCAAUUCCUUCUGUGCAAGUGGAAGUGGGUGGAACAGAGGGGAGCUGGGAGGGGGGUUGCUUGCGCAGCAGGAACUUUGGACCCAAGCCAGUGUCUUGUUGAUGCUCACAACAAAAGAUAACCACGUAAGAGAAGCAUCUUUCAAGAAUAUACAAUGUUCUCCUGAAGUGGGAACCCAAAUAUAACAGCUCUAGAUUGGUGUGAGAUCACUGGCAUAUGAAGGUGAAGUGAAAAUGUGAAAGUAACCCAUCUAUUUUCACCUCCCAGAGCCAAAUUGCUUAAAACAGUAGGAGAGGCACAGAAUUGUCAGGGCUUUAACGACAGGCCAUUCUGGACUGCUUCAGCCAUUGCCAGUUUCCUACAUGGAAUUUUCCUUCCAUACAGGAAAAGGCUAAUCCCAGUUCACCCACGAUACUCACUGGGUGACCUUGGGCCAACCACAACUUCUUAGCCUAACCUACUUCACAGGGCUGAAAAUAAGAUGGGAUAACCCAACGUAUGGCAUCCUAAGCUUCUUGGAGAAAGAAUGUGAUGCAAAGAUAAUAGGAACGGGAGUAAUAAAAAAGGGGGGAUAUUGCAGAAAACUGAUGCCUACCAAUUGGAUAUAUCGUGUUUUGCUACAUGAAACAUCCUGUAAAGCCAUGACACUAGUUGCAGUUCUCCUAUGCUUCUACAUAUAGUGGAAUUGAUGCAUAAUCUUGUGUGGCAGUCUUCUUGUAGACCCAGACUUUUUUAUAGGUGGAAAUUUAAAAAGCCUUAAAAGAGGAUUAGUCAAAUUCAUAGAGAGUAAGGAUAUCAGUGGCUACAAGACAUGAAGGCCAUUCUCUGCUUCCACAGUCAGAUGCAGUAAUGUUUCUGAAUACCAGUUGCUUGAAAACCCAGGAGAGGAGAGUGCUCUUGUGCUCGGAUCCUGCUUGUGGGUUUCCCAUGGGCAUCUUGUUGGCCACUGCGAGAACAGGAUGCUGGACUAGAUGAGCCAUUGGCCUGAUCCAGCAGGCUCUUCAUAUGUUCUUAUGAAAUGCUUCUCCUUUUGAACAAUUCAUCACUUCCAAAACAGACCCAAGUAACUGCUGGGGACAUAAAUCCCUGUACAACCUAGAGAGCAGAACUUUAUUUUCUUUCCUGAUUAACACCCAGAUUGGUUUUAUGUACAGCUGUUGCUUUAAAAAGAAAUCAAACAUUUCAUGUUGUUGAUAGUCUGAAUAAAUCCAUAUCCAAUGAGCAGUAAAUAAAUUAUGAAGCAGAAUUAGCUUCCCAAAGAUCUUUGGUGUAAAUAAAAUGAGAUGGUUUAAUCAAACAAUGAUCUAAGAUUUUAAUACUCUAGGUUUCCACCACCAGCAGAUGUAACAACAACAAAAGAUUUUUUUCUAAAACAUCAGUUCACCAGAGAGUCCAGCUAUUCAGACAGCUGUUAUGAGAGCAUAAACAGUACUUUUGUAAAAUUCAGCAACUUUAUGUGCAAACAAUCAAAAUUGUAUAAAUGACUAGUUAAUUAGGCAGCAAGGCACAAUAAAAGAACAUUUAUUGUGGUGUGUUCCUUUGAAUUUUUAUGUAACAUAAACCUUAAGAACAACCUUGCUGGAUGAGACCAGAGGUCCACCUUGUCCAGCCUCCUGUUCUCUCAGUGGCCAACCAGAAGCCUAUGAGAAGCCUAAGACCUGAGUCCAGCAGCAACCCCCCCCCCCCAAAUGUUGUUACUUUUCCUCCUAGGGGAGUUGCUCCAGUCCCUGGAUUGUUUUGGGUGCCUUUUUCAGCAGCUUUUUAAACUCUUCAAUAUUGUUUUUGAGGUGCACCGACUAAAGAAGGUAUUUUCACAACUGACAUUAGGAACCAAUUUUAUUCUUCUACAUGCCACUUAUGAAUACUUUAUUAUGGAUGUGGUGUAGAAAAUCACUCAUUUUUAAAACAAACAUAUAUUCUAGUCAAUGUAGGGUUUUCUUUCUUGGGACAACUUGGAUCGUCUUUGCAGAGAAAUAAUACAGCACCUAUCCUGUACUUCAGAGAUGGAGGAUUUCCCCCUGCAUUCCCUCCAGAGAAAGUGAUUGUUGGGGUGGAACCAAAGGCCAUAAUCCCUAUCCUCUCACAUAUACACACCCCAUUCUCACAUGCAUUUAAAUGAGACUACCUUAAAAGUGACUGAACUUAACAAAAUUCACCUUUGCACAUCCUCUUCAGAAGGAUCCUCUGGUGUUUGGCUCUGCACUUUAAUUCCAUGCCAUUUCAGACACUCCAUUUGAGCCUGUGCACAUGUACAUGACCACAGGGAGAAAGGUCAGUGGAUGAAUGGGGUCGUUGUGCAUGACAUUCCAUCUCUGAGUUUAUGGCUGCUGUGGGAAGUGUACAGCUAAUUUUGCACUGAUCUUUCUCCAUGUGAUUAUAGUACAUGGCCUAUACAGUGGAAUCUCGGUUGUUGAACAUAAUCCAUUCCGGGAAACCGUUUGACUUCUGAAACUUUCAACAACCAAGGCACAAUUGCCAGUCAGCAAUUGCAGUGGAGAAAAUGGAGUAAUCCACCUCGGAAGCCAUUCAACUUCCGAGGCGCGUUCUAAAACGGAAGCAUUCACUUCGGGGUUGUUGGUGUUUGAAAGCCAAAAAAUUUGAGUUCCGAAGCAUUCGACAACCGAGGUUCCACUGUAUUUUGGAAGUCAACUUAAAAAAAUAGAGGGGGGCAAUUGAGUUCCUACAACAUUUACUCUUCCUAGUCUCGGUACAAUCUGUUGUACCAUCAGACAAAAGCUACCUUAAAGGAAAAUGUUUUUCCUAUGAAGGUACAUUCUUUCACCUUUGGUGGACGUGCCCAAGGCCUUCUGGGAGAUGAUUUAUAAUGAAAUGAAGAAGGUAUUUAAAUAUACCUUUCUGAAGAAACCAGAGGCCUUUCUCCUGGGCAUGGUUGGCCAAUUGGUGUUAAAGAAGGAUAGAACUUUCUUUAUGUAUGCUACAACAGCAGCAAGAAUACUUAUCGCAAAGUAUUGGAAGACACAAGACCCACUCUGGAAGAAUGGCAGAUGAAGGUGAUGGACUAUAUGGAACUGGCGGAAAUGACCGGCAGAAUCCGAGACCAGGGAGAAGAGUCGGUGGAAGAAGAUUGGAAGAAAUUUAAAAACUAUCUACAGAAAUACUGCAAAAUUAAUGAAUGUUAGAAUGAUGUUGGAUUGAAGUUAAGGGUUUUUUUAGCAGCAAUGUUAUAAAGGAAUAUGUAAAAAUGGAUUGUUAACAAGUGAUAAUUUAAAGUUAUAAUAUAUUAAGAUAAAAGAUUAAGAUAAAAUCAAAGAGGGAAGGGAAUUGCUGAAUUAAUUAAUUGAACUGGAAUACAAAAAAGGGAGGUGUGAGGAGGUCAGGGAAACAAGCAAAUGAAAGAUAAGAUAUGGAAAGAUUGAUUUGUUUUUAAUUGUUUUUAUUUUUCUGUAUUUUGUAUUUUGUAUUUUCUUUUCUUUUUCUUCUUAUUUUUGUAAUCUUUUUUUGAAACUUUAAUAAAUAUUAUUUAAAAAAAUAAAGGAAAAUGUUUUUCCUAAUAGCACAUCUUACACACUGAGACUCAUAUUAUUUGUAUAACAUUACCCCACUGUGGGUCUAUAUCUGUGGAACAGCUAAAGGGGAGAGAGCUAAUGAGCUGGCAUCAGUCAGAACUUCCAGCUGAAUCAUCUAACUUGCCCCGAAAAUUGUUCACAUCUUGCUGGGGCCUGAGAAAUAAUUUCCCAUGAAGAACCAAUCUUAGCUUGCGAGAGCCACAGCUCCAAAUGACUUCUGUUAAGUAAUGCAGUGCAGCCACUGACUGAGGGCUUAUCCAAACGAUCAGUUCAAAGCAUGCUCUCAACAACAGCUGUGUAGGCUUUGCAGGAUAGCCCUGCAAGCCAUAAUUUACAGUCAAGGGGGCAGUAUCCAGCCCUAUGUGUAGCAGAUGUGGAGUCAGCUUGCUACAGUGGUGAUAGCCAUGCUAUUUCACAGAUACACACACACUAGAUAUUGGGCAGUCGAUGAAAGGGAGAAAACUUAGCUUCCAAAGUGGGAGCUAGAAGGCAGGAUCUCAUCCCAGCCAGGAAAUCCUGCCUUGAGAGUAUUAUGCUUCUGCAUAAAUAAAAAUACAUAGAGCAAUACAGAUGAGGAUGAUGAACCUGACAAGGGACUUCGCUUUCACUUUGCUGUGAAAUUGGUCAGUUUUAGCUCCUGUGCAAGUCUGGUGUCAUGGGGAAGUUUGGGAUUUGGAAGUUGCCUUAUUUGUUAUCAAUGACAUCAUGAUGCUCUCCAAAAGGUGUCCAUGACACUGGAGCAACCAUUCCACAUUGCAGUGAUCCUGCUUUCUAGGAGAGAAUUGUAUUGUUCCAGUAACAAAAUAUUUUGAUGUUUGCAGCAUGCAGAGGAUGGUGGAAUUGGGAUGGGGAACGAAUCAUUGAAAGGCAAAAACUUCAUUGAAAAAAGACAUGAGAAUGCCAUACAACAAAUGAGCAACAGUUGUGCAUUUGUUUCACUUUAAUCAUGUAUUUGUAAAGGUCCUGAGUGGCUAAGCCUCACUGCUUCUUGGUAAAUCAGGUACAGUUCUCUUGCACUGGCUCAAGAGACUGGAAUUGAACUUACAUUAUUGGGCCAAGUCUUAAUUCUGGGGCCCUCCAGAUUGCUGGACUGUUGUUGUUUUGCAGAUGUAUUCUGCAACAUGCCAUUGAUGCAAUCAUACUGUAUGAGUGGUGGAUUUAUGCUGGAGUAUCCACAAAUCAUUCCACUUUAUCUAGUUGUUCUGUGAUGCUUCGCUGAUGUUAUUGCACCAUUUCUGUCUGGAAGGGUAUAGCACAACAAAAGCAGAACAACACAAAAACAGAAACCAGAACUUUUGUGGUAUGAAAAGUUACAUGAUUUCAGCAGGAAGCUAUGGGACAAAGCAAAUCAGUAUGUCUGCCCUGAAACUUUUGCAGAUGCAACAUUGUGGAAAGAAGGAUCAUGUAUAACCACCCCAAUGCCCUCAGAAGCACAAAUCAUCAUAAAAAGGAUGCAGAGAGAGGCCCUCAGCUUCCACUGGAUGAGCCUUUCAGCUCACUGGGUGGUAUCUCAUGGUGUCAAUCCACUUCUGGGAAGUAUCCAUCAUCAGAAUUGAAAGCAGAAUUAAAAUAGUUGGCGAUACCUCCUGCUUCCUCCAGUCAAUUUUGGAUCUGUUCCAUUGGGUCUCCCAGUCCUGUGAAACUGAUUUAGGAAAUGCACUUGUGGCUUCAGUGGAUAGGGAAAAUUGCCAAAAAUUGCUUUCCUCCCUCUGCUCUGCUAUGGGAUCCCUUUCUUUCAGCACAUGGACUUCUCUCAGGUGUCCAGCCUGUCCCGGUCUCCAAAUACUAUUUCUGAGCUUGCUUUAAUCUCUCUGGUGCCACUAAUGCUUCUUCCUUACACCGCAAAAUUUGUAAUAUUAGUGUGAGUUUGGAUGACAUAUCAGCCCCUGCUGCAGCAGCUGACCUGGCACUAAAGCGUCAGUGGAGAAAUGCAGGCUGGCUGCUAUGGGCUGUGCUAUUAUUUCUCUGAGAAGCUGGUGCAGAAUGAGUGCGUGGGGCCGGAUCCUGAUCUUUAGUUUGCUGGCACAAAUUAGCAGAUAGCCACCUUCCACUGCCAGGGGGUACUGCAUGCAGAAUCAAGCCUCUCUGCCUGAUGGAUUCAGAU
rnacentral:lncRNA from 1 species